rnacentral:rRNA from 1 species
UGCGUAGGUGGCAGUGCAAGUCAGAUGUGAAAGGCCGGGGCUCAACCCCGGAGCUGCAUUUGAAACUGCUCGGCUAGAGUACAGGAGAGGCAGGCGGAAUUCCUAGUGUAGCGGUGAAAUGCGUAGAUAUUAGGAGGAACACCAGUGGCGAAGGCGGCCUGCUGGACUGUUACUGACACUGAGGCACGAAAGCGUGGGGAGCAAACA